rnacentral:sRNA from 2 species
CCGCCCACCUUUGGGGAGUAGCCGCCCGCGUCUAUCAGCGGGCCCCGCCGUCAACACACUUGAUCUUCCGGAUCAUGGCGCGGGGAAGGGAAGCGGACUUGAAGCUUCCU